rnacentral:lncRNA from 1 species
CUAACCCCUUCAUUGAAGCCCUCAAAUGAAUCCUUUUCUUCUCCUUCCCAUUGGAUGAAAUUUUCAGAAAAUCCUUCAAAAAUCAAAUGAGAUUUAACUUCUCUAAUUGCUCUGUAGGACAUUCCACGGCAUCUCGUACAUGGACAGGCUGCCGUUUCUCCUUAAGAUGUGCCAGACAACAUGCUUCACAACAUUUUCGAUCAAAGUGACACACAAAGUGAUCAAUUGCCUGCAUAUACAUCAAAGAAAAGUUCUCAAGCUUAUUUGACACAAUGCACACAAGUAUACCUAGAUUACCAGCAGAUAUAAUUUAGUUCGUAAUCUAAACUCACAUGCACAUGACGAAGAAUGAC